GGGGAUGACAGGCUUCGACGGGGAAGGCUGGUCCUGGACUGCAAGCCGAGCACGCUUUACAACUCGUAAAACUGGAAGCAAACAAUUAAGUGCCAAUAACAAUGCACGCUCCUACAACGCUCUCCCCUUGGCUGCCUAAUCGCAGCCGCCGGAAGGCGUUAGAUGAGUCCUGAGAUGGACUCCCGUCUGCCUCGACCGUUCGUUGACCGCGAGAGAGCAGGCGACACUUUUGUCAACGUGCGCGAACUCGACACCGAUGGAGUUAGCUAAGACACCCUUUCGGGGGUGAUCGGUUCGCUGGUGACUGACCUCGUCAACCGGGGCGCUCAACAGUUAAAACAAAUAGGUUGACUAUGCUUGUAGACGUUCAGCGGUCGAAUUUUUCGGACGCGGGUUCGAUUCCCGCCAUCUCCACUC
rnacentral:tmRNA from 1 species